UGGCAGAACCACAGGAGUGGACCACAGCCUACGCCUAUAACCGAAAGCCUGUCAACAAAUAAUCACAUUGUGGCAUGGGGACAGAGAAGAAGUAAAGGAAGGAGUGGGAAGACAUAACAUUUAGCACUGGGGUCAGGUGUGUACUUCCUUCCUGUCUGUCUCCAAUCAACUAAAGGACUGAUUUAAAGAGAAGUGUUUCUAAAACAUGACCUGUGUCCAGUGGAGAUUGCGGAAUAGAGAUGAGUGCCAGACCCACCCCCCUGGAGCAGUCUAUACAUAAAGGACUUGAUGUGGUUACCUGUGAUAAGAGGAUGCAGAGAGCAGCUUGGCCUUCCAGAUUCUGGCAGUUCUUCUCAAGACUCAGGUGGACCCCAUGGAAGUUAGCUGAGUUUGAAUUACCUAGAAAAUAUACCAGCCCAAGUAAAUCAACUACCAAUGGGAGUCAUGAUAUCAAAAAGACUACUGGGGAGUGUGUGAGAAAGGUCACAGAAGAAAAUGAAUCACUUGUAUUACAGAGAAAUACAGUGGAAGUUUUCCAAGACAGCCUCAAAAAUUCACAAAAGAGCUUUAUAAAGCAGAACACUAAAGAGGUUUCACACUUCUUUAGUGGAACCACAGGGUCCUUACUCCUCCUUCCCUGUGCUUCCUUUUGUCAUUUUGGGACCAGGAGAUUAAAAGCAAAUAAGGAGGAAAAGUAAAGAUGAAAAUGAGCUAAACGUGAUAAUCCUAUCAUGCCCCACUCCCUCCCCACUGCAGUCUCAUAAACCCAAGUCAGGAACAACUGAGGUUUGAGCAUUAGACUUGACUGUGCCUCUUUAAUAUCUGUGACUGUUGCAAUGUAUUAGUAAAUGAGGGUGUGCAGAAAACUCAGAGAUAUUCCUGAGAUUCUGAGGAAUCUCAGGGUGAUUUGACAGAAGGUGAUUUGACAUAACACACUUACAAGACAAGUGAGUAAAACAAAAAUUAAAUUUGACUUCUGCUAGCUUACUUCACCUGGUUCAAUAAGUCGGCUUUAAAUAUGAAAGAACAACUGAAAAGGAAAAACUGGUUCUCAUUCUGUGAAGUAUGACCGUAAAUAAACUGAAUUCGUACACAUAUUUAAAGAAAGAAUAGGCCAACAAUGAAAAAUGAAGAUGGACAUGCAUGAGAUAAAAUAUUUGCAAAUGAUAUUAGAAGACAAUAUUUCUAAGAAGAUAAGAGAGAGAAAAGAUGGG